rnacentral:rRNA from 1 species
AUCCUGGCUCAGAUUGAACGCUGGCGGCAUGCUUUACACAUGCAAGUCGAACGGCAGCACGGGUGCUUGCACCUGGUGGCGAGUGGCGGACGGGUGAGUAAUGCAUCGGAACGUGUCCUGAAGUGGGGGAUAACGCAUCGAAAGAUGUGCUAAUACCGCAUAUUCUCUGAGGAUGAAAGCGGGGGACCGUAAGGCCUCGCGCGAUCGGAGCGGCCGAUGUCAGAUUAGGUAGUUGGUGGGGUAAAGGCUCACCAAGCCGACGAUCUGUAGCUGGUCUGAGAGGACGACCAGCCACACUGGGACUGAGACACGGCCCAGACUCCUACGGGAGGCAGCAGUGGGGAAUUUUUGGACAAUGGGCGCAAGCCUGAUCCAGCAAUGCCGCGUGCAGGAAGAAGGCCUUCGGGUUGUAAACUGCUUUUGUACGGAGCGAAAAGGUCUUCCCUAAUACGGGAGGCUGAUGACGGUACCGUAAGAAUAAGCACCGGCUAACUACGUG